GAUGAACGCUGGCGGCGUGCCUAAUACAUGCCAGUCGAGCGAACAGACGAGGAGCUUGCUCCUCUGACGUUAGCGGCGGACGGGUGAGUAACACGUGGAUAACCUACCUAUAAGACUGGGAUAACUUCGGGAAACCGGAGCUAAUACCGGAUAAUAUAUUGAACCGCAUGGUUCAAUAGUGAAAGACGGUUUUGCUGUCACUUAUAGAUGGAUCCGCGCCGCAUUAGCUAGUUGGUAAGGUAACGGCUUACCAAGGCAACGAUGCGUAGCCGACCUGAGAGGGUGAUCGGCCACACUGGAACUGAGACACGGUCCAGACUCCUACGGGAGGCAGCAGUAGGGAAUCUUCCGCAAUGGGCGAAAGCCUGACGGAGCAACGCCGCGUGAGUGAUGAAGGUCUUCGGAUCGUAAAACUCUGUUAUUAGGGAAGAACAAAUGUGUAAGUAACUAUGCACGUCUUGACGGUACCUAAUCAGAAAGCCACGGCUAUCUACGUG
rnacentral:rRNA from 1 species